ensembl:lncRNA
GAGCUUUUGAACAUUACUCACAAUAUGAAUCAGCAGAUGGUAAUUUCCAUAACGUUACGGCUAGUCUUUCAAACGGCACUUUAAUUACUUUACUUGAAUAUAGUGUUCUGCUCUGCUCUUUUAUGUGGAUAUUUCAUUCAAAUAAGGCGCCAUGUGUCAAAAAAUUAGUAUGAGCCACGCGGAUCUGAUCUUUAAAACUACAUUUCCCAUCAAGCUAAGAAACCCGCAGUUGGCGCUUAAACACGACGUCAGCAUCAGUAUAAAUAUCACCCUCUUCCUUCGUCACAUCCUCUUUCCGUUGCUCCUCUCGCUUUGAGAAACUUCUCCUCACGAUGAGAGCCAAGUGGAGGAAGAAGCGUAUGCGCAGGCUGAAGCGUAAAAGGAGAAAGAUGAGGCAGAGGUCCAAGUAGAUCUUCUCCCUGCCAGCUGUGAUUCCCGUCGGCGCUUCUCCAGUUGACUGACUCUGGUUUAAGUGGAGCCUCCAUCAGUGGACCCGAAGCCCAAGCCGUGAUUUCUGAUGACUGCGCAUCUCAUGGACACUUCUGUGGAUGGCUGAUUGGAAAAGGCAAAGACGCUGGACUAUCGACAUAAGAACAGCAGCUACAUUGUUCACGGAUCAUUACACAUAUUUACCAACUGUCAUGUGGUGAUGAACAAUAAACGAACACUGUUUAAAACUUAACACUGUUAACUCUUGAUUCCAACUAUUUACCUAUUGGUAAAGCUCUUGUUUGACUGGCAGUAUGAAAAAUUGGCGUUGCCAGUUCUAGAUUGAGUCGCCCUUGCAUUUGUAAACUUGAUACAAGGGGCGACACUAAACAUUAGUUGGUAUUCUGUAUACAUAGUCCAUACUUUAGUCAAUGUACAGACUGGCUAAAUUUAAAUGUCAACCUAGCUUUUAAUGGUAACUUCUAAUUUAGAAUAACUGAGGCUUACAGCAGGGAAACUAGCUUGGCAGUCUUUAAGCUCUUUUGCCAAUUUGGCUUUAUCCCAUGGUGUGUUGAUCAAACAAAUAU